rnacentral:rRNA from 1 species
CCUACGGGUGGCAGCAGUGAGGAAUAUUGGUCAAUGGACGGAAGUCUGAACCAGCCAAGUAGCGUGCAGGAUGACGGCCCUAUGGGUUGUAAACUGCUUUUGUAUGGGGAUAAAGUUAGGGACGUGUCCCUAUUUGCAGGUACCAUACGAAUAAGGACCGGCUAAUUCCGUGCCAGCAGCCGCGGUAAUACGGAAGGUCCAGGCGUUAUCCGGAUUUAUUGGGUUUAAAGGGAGCGUAGGCUGGAGAUUAAGUGUGUUGUGAAAUGUAGACGCUCAACGUCUGAAUUGCAGCGCAUACUGGUUUCCUUGAGUACGCACAACGUUGGCGGAAUUCGUCGUGUAGCGGUGAAAUGCUUAGAUAUGACGAAGAACUCCGAUUGCGAAGGCAGCUGACGGGAGCGCAACUGACGCUUAAGCUCGAAGGUGCGGGUAUCGAACAGGAUUAGAUACCCCAGUAGUC